rnacentral:rRNA from 1 species
AGAGUUUGAUCCUGGCUCAGAACGAACGCUGGCGGCGUGGAUAAGACAUGCAAGUCGAGCGAGAUUUUUUCCUGUAGCAAUACAGGGAAACGUCUAGCGGCGAACGGGUGCUUAACACGUGGGCAAUCUGCCAAGAAGUGGGGGAUAGCUCGCCGAAAGGCGAAUUAAUACCGCAUGUGAUCAGAGUGGACAUCCAUUCGAAAUCAAAGUCGGGGCAACCUGACGCUUCUUGAGGAGCCCGCGGCCUAUCAGCUAGUUGGUGAGGUAACGGCCCACCAAGGCUUUGACGGGUAGCUGGUCUGAGAGGACGACCAGCCACACUGGGACUGAGACACGGCCCAGACACCUACGGGUGGCAGCAGUCGAGAAUUUUUCUCAAUGGGGGAAACCCUGAAGGAGCGACGCCGCGUGGAGGAUGAAGGUCUUCGGGUUGUAAACUCCUGUCAUUUGGGAACAAUGCGUAAAUAUUAACUGUAUUUGCGUUGAUAGUACCAGAAGAGGAAGAGACGGCUAACUCUGUGCCAGCAGCCGCGGUAAUACAGAGGUCUCAAGCGUUGUUCGGAUUCAUUGGGCGUAAAGGGUGCGUAGGCGGCGCGGUAAGUCGGGUGUGAAAUCUCGGGGCUUAACUCCGAAACUGCAUUCGAUACUGCCGUGCUUGAGGACUGGAGAGGAGACUGGAAUUUACGGUGUAGCGGUGAAAUGCGUAGAUAUCGUAAGGAAGACCAGUGGCGAAGGCGGGUCUCUGGACAGUUCCUGACGCUGAGGCACGAAGGCCAGGGGAGCAAACGGGAUUAGAUACCCCAGUAGUCC